rnacentral:misc_RNA from 1 species
AACCUAGCACACCUGCGGUGUGUACCUGCGGAGGGAUCAUUACCGAGUUUACAACUCCCAAACCCCUGUGAACAUACCAAUUGUUGCCUCGGCGGAUCAGCCCGCUCCCGGUAAAACGGGACGGCCCGCCAGAGGACCCCUAAACUCUGUUUCUAUAUGUAACUUCUGAGUAAAACCAUAAAUAAAUCAAAACUUUUAGCAAUGGAUCU